CUAACUCAUACUCAGACUCAAUCACUCGCUUUCAGUCUCUCUCAACCUCAUCUCACCUCAGUGACCUCACCGGCUCACCCUACUCCUCAUCCUCGACCUCACCCAGUCACCCUCACUCAGUCACUCUUUCAACCUCACCUCACUCUUUCGACCUCACCUCACCUUGUUGGAAAAUCACUUGUUUUGGAAUUGCCCCGAUGCGAGUUCGUAUUGUUGGAAGUUUUGAGACUCUUGUCCCACAUUGGUGAAAACAAGAUUCCCAAGUACCUUUAUAUAUGUUUUGUCUUCUACAAUAUUAGUUAUGUGUUGGACCACUUGGAAUGGGAAUUGAGGCUUGGGCAACCAUUUAUGUGGAUUGGGCUUGAUGAUUAUACCAUAAUAUUAAUAUAAAUUAAUAUUAAUUAAUCAAGACAAGGGCCUUGGGCCUUGGGGCCUAAGAAUUAAAAUUAAUCUGAUCAAUUAGUUUUAAUUUCGAAUUAAGUUUUUAAUUAAAUUAAUUAAAAACGUUUUGAUUAAAGAUACAACCUUUUGUAGAGAGUUGUAAAGCUUCAGAUACAUCCAAAAGGUAUUUGAAGAGGUAUGAAAGAGCCUAUAUAACUUGAGUCCUCAGUUCAUCAUCAAUCAUCUUUUCUACUUCCUUUUAUUCCGUACAAACUUUCCAGAGAGAGUAAACACACAAAGCAAUUCGCUAGAAUUCUAUAAUCCAAUGCGGGUUGUAGGAUUAGGUAGUUGUAUCCUGAUCGAGCAGACGUUAUAGAACCACAAGCACAAUAGUGGGACGGAAUUACUGUUCGAAGGACAUAGCUUUUACGCUAGCCUCUACCUUCUGUAAUCAAGUUAGUACUAUUGAUAUUCUUAUAUUAAUUUAUGUAUUUAUUGUAUACUUUUCAUUAUGUACAGCAAGUACUUUUUGCGAAAUAAAAUUGUGAAUUUCAAAUUCUGUUUAUUUUUGUUAUAUUGUUUAUUUCUGAAUUGUUCUCUAACACGUACAUCACUAUAUUGUAUAACCCUCGAUUCCUAUUUCAGUUUCUCUUCUUUGAGGCCCUUUUUGGCUUUUCAAAUUUUUACAAUUUUUUAUAUGUCAAUUAAUUUUUUUUCCAGGUUUCCAGAGGCUGCCGUGCUGAAAUUCGC
rnacentral:lncRNA from 1 species